rnacentral:rRNA from 1 species
GUCGUAACAAGGUAACCGUAGGUGAACCUGCGGUUGGAUCAUUAAUAAAUUUUAUAAAGAUGAAAUUAUUCUGAAAAGAUGAUUUUUAUUCUUUAACAAAUUUGUGAACUUUAUUAAAGUCUUUUGGGUUGAUUUUAAAAUGUUGACCCAAAAUUUUUAAACUAUUCUUUAUUUUUUAACAAGUCUUUAAAAAACAUUUAAAUUUUAAUUUAAAAAACAACUUUUAACAACGGAUCUCUUGGUUCUCGCAACGAUGAAGAACGCAGCGAAAUGCGAUAAGUAAUGUGAAUUGCAAAAUUCCGUGAAUCAUCAAAUCUUUGAACGCACAUUGCGCUUCCUGGUAUUCCGGGGAGCAUAUCUGUUUGAGAAUCAGUAUUAAUAUCAAAUUUAUUUUUUAAUAGUUUUAUUUCUGUUUUUAAAUAAAUUUGGAAUUGAAGAUUUUACUAUUAUCUAGUGUAAUAGUAAUCUUUUAAUAAUAUUUUAAGUUUUUAAAUCAAAUGGUUUAGAAAACAAAAGCAUGACCAAUGAGGGUUGCACCUCUAAAAGAUUGCCCUAGUUAACUUUACAUAAUUUUGAUAUAAAAGUUUUUUAAAACAAAUCACGAAAAAUUAAUUUUUUAAUUUUUUAAGACUUGAUCUCAAAUCAGAUAAGACUACCCGCUGAACUUAAGCAUAUCAAUAAGCGGAGGAAAAGAAACUAACAAGGAUUCCCCUAGUAACGGCGAGUGAAGCGGGAAUAGCUCAAAUUUGAAGUCUCAUACCUUUGGUGUGCGAAUUGUAGUUUGUAGAAGUGUUUUCGGAGGUAGAUCUGGUUAAAGUCCCUUGGAACAGGGCAUCAUAGAGGGUGAGAAUCCCGUCUUUGGCUAGAACCCUAUUUCUAUGUGAUACACUUUCAAAGAGUCAGGUUGUUUGGGAAUGCAGCCUAAAAUGGGUGGUAAAUACCAUCUAAAGCUAAAUAUUGGCGAGAGACCGAUAGCGAACAAGUACCGUGAGGGAAAGAUGAAAAGAACUUUGAAAAGAGAGUUAAAUAGUACGUGAAAUUGUUAAAAGGGAAACGUUUGAAACCAGUCUUGUUAAAGGAAUCUCAAUUGAUUUAACAAAUCAACCCAUGUUUUCUUUAACAGGUCAACAUCAAUUUGAUUUGAAAUAAAAAGGUAGUAGGAAGGUGACGUUUGCUUCGGUAAACGUGUUAUAGCCUAUUAUCAUAUGUUUCGGAUUAGAUUGAGGAACGCAGUGUAGUCUUGGAUUUACUUGUUGCUAGCCCAAAAUCUAUUUUUAAACAACUUGUUGAUUGAAAGUAGACAAAGGUUAAUCGAUGGGAUAAAUCACACCUAUGCUUUGGAUGUUGACAUAAUGGUUUUAAGCGAC